AUUCUUGCUUGCGGAAUGGAGAUAUUGGCAAGGUGGGACACGCUAUCUUGCUCUUGUAUGGUGUUAGAUUUCAUUUUCGGUUCUUCCUUUCUUUGGACAGGGCAGGUAUAGGUAGCUGCAGCCCAAUAUGGCGACCGGAGUAUGGGCGAGUGGGUGUGUUGAAAAGAGUGGGUGUACGGAAAGUGAAUCAACUAAUUUGCCAGAUUUGUUGCCACUCAGACCGUUUUGCGUUGCCGAUACAGAACCAAUCAGUCGAUAUAAUCGAGAACAAUCAUCAGAAAUCACGCGAUAUGAAUCAGACAGUGGUGGCGCCGCCUGACCCACUAGCUGGUCAGAGGGUUCAAAUCAACGUUUCAUAUCGUAAUUUCCGAGUAAGCAAAAAGCAUCAACCACGGCUGUUAUUACACCCCGUAUACGUUGGUGGCGGUAAUGACCAUUUUUAUUGUGCUGUAACUAAAACUAGAAGACGAUCUUCUGACGUCCUUUCCCUUCGUCAAAGAUGCCAUCAUUUAGAAGAAAAAGAGCCACGCUGGUUUAUAGAGACCUGACUAGAGGCGUGAUAGCACGUACACCCCUGCCAUCAACUUGGAUUGGGAGGACUGGGAGAACAGAGCCGGUUCCCUCAGCAGCAGAAGUUGUGCCCAGCUGCAGUGAUGCACCUCCUCCACCAGCUUACAAAAAAAGGAAGGCAGCUGAUGUUGAGGCCUGGAAGGGGUUGAGCUACUCCACAUCCCUGCAGUGUCUGUCUUAGUCAGCGCAGUUCAUCCCAUGUGUCCCGGUGGGCCUACGAUGGGAGUGGAGGAGACAAGAUGACCAUGACUGUCACAGCCAGUACAACCGUCUUCUGACUGUUGUUGACUUUAGAGGAAGAGCUCAUGACGCCUUUGCUGCAGUUUUGCAGCUGUGAGCUGGAACCUGUCACUCUGAUCCGCCACAGACUCUGGCCUGCCACCCCCCAUCUGCCGCAAACAGCAAUUUCAGUGGACCUCCUGCGCCAGUUUGCAGCCCUGCAGCUGGAGUGUGGGAUGUCUUUGAGGGGGAUUACCUUUCCAUAAAUCCAAUGCAUGCUGGAAGACAGUUGAGCUCUACCGGAAGCUCACAAAUGAGUCAUUUGAGGAGUUCAAACACUGGCAGUUUGAACGAGAGACUGCCAGGAAGUUGGCGCUACUGACCUCGGACGGAACAAAGUGUCCUCUCUGUCCACAGGAAAACAGUCAUCAAACUAUUUCAGCUGAUGCCCUAUUUGGGAUUCCCAGAAAAAGAUUGUCUGGGACCAGCAUUUAGGGUCCAAAACAUGCUUGGCGGUUCUUUUGUGACCAAGACAAAGUCGACUGCUUUGUAGGAGGAGCAUCAGACACACCAACUGAGCCGGGAUGCGCUGCGAUCCAAACCCAAAACUCAGAAACUGGACAUAACUGCUGUUUUUGGGAUGGCGUGCAGGCACGAGCAUCCGCUGAAGUUCCUGAACCUGAAGAGAGGAGAGAAGCUUGCAAAUGCUGUGUUCCUGCUGGGGGACCUGAAAGCAAUGCAGGGACCAAACAUCACAAUGUUUCUUCACUAUGACAUUGCAUGCCAGCUGAAGCCUCAUUUACAGAAAAACAGUCCUGAUCUAAUGGUGGACACCACAUUUGCAGUGCCAGCCUUUCAUGCCUAUGCUCAUGAUGCUGACUGUCAGGUCACUGACGGUACCAGGUAUGUGACUGGUAGUGGGCUUGCUGAAGGAGAACAGAUGGAGAGGUUGUGGUCCUACCUUAGAACAUUUGGGAAGAUCACAAAAGAGAUGACACCAUCUCAUCGUGUUGCCCUCCUCACACCCUCACCGAUCCCCUCCUCUACUGCGCAGCCAGGGUCAGGGAGAAGCAAGCUCCAGCAAUACAACUCCGUCGGCAGAAGGUCCUGAAGGAGGAAACUGAUGCAAAGGACGAGUUGAUGGUGCUACUAAACAGCAUUCCAGUUUGGACCUGUCAGAUAAAGGAGACCCUCACAGACAAGAGGACGUUGUUCCUUACGUGGCAGGAGAGAUACGUGGAAACUCUCGCAGAGCAACAGCGAGUCAUGUCUGACAUGAUGUCCCCGUCAAUCACCGAUGAUAGGAACGCUCAGUUGACUACUCAGCUUGAAAACCUGGAGAAAAGGUUGAAGGCCAUGGAGAAGAGAUACCGGAUUGUACGCUGGUCUCUUCAACACUGUGCAGCAAUUUUGGAAAGUCUGCAGACUAAGAAGACUCACUGUCUGCUGGCCACAAUCCAUAGGCUUGUCCUGGAGUGCUCUUUCUAUUGUGGGUGCCUCUGUGCUGCCCCGAAAUAAAAUGCAGAACACAUUAAAGCUCCAGCAAGCAUUUUCAAUGUUGGCUGGUGAUGGCUCGGUCAGCACAGAUGUAGAGGAGGACAGUGAAUCGGAGGACAGUGAUUCAGAAGACGAAAGUGGUUGAGGAAUGAAUGUCUGUCUGUGUGUGUGUGUGUGAGUUCUAUAGGGACAAACUAUACACUGAGUAUUCCAAACAUUAGGAACACUUUCCUAAUAUUGAGUUGCACCCCCUCCCCCCUUUUGCCCUCAGAACAGCCUCAU